UUCAUCCAUUCUGUCCAUUUUCCAUGAAAUACUACUUCUUCCUGUUUGGGAAUCCGUACUUUUCAAAAUCCAGCUUUAAAAUGUCUCUCUCUUUGCUGACUCUUGAGUUUUUAGUUUUAAAAAGCAAAAAAAGUUUUAAACUAAACUUACAAGUAACUUCAGUCUCAUUCCCAGCAAGCUUUCUUCUGUUAAAGUUAAUUAGCAUGGGCAUGGUAACAUUUAUAUAAAAGUUUUCCUAUAUAAAAUAUUUUAUGAAAUGUUUUAAUAUUUAAGAAACUGAUUGUUCAAAAUACUAUACAAUUCUUUAAAAAAUAACUAUGAAUGCCAUGCAGCUACAGUGCUUAGCAGUGAUGAUCAGCUACAGCUGGGGACUUCUCUAAACUGCUGUCUGUGAAGACAGAUGUUAGGUGCGUGGUAAACAAGCAACCUCGCUAAGCCACCAGUGUAUAACCAGUCUCAGAUGAUCCACAUUAGCAUUUAGGAGUUUUCAUGCUCAAUAACAGACCCACAGUUUUACUAAGGAUUCAUACUACAAACUGACAUGAACAAUAAUACUAAGUAAAUCUAAAUGUACACAUUUUACAGAAAGUUGAAAAUCAGUUUCCCUGGUGAGAGAGAAAUAAAUCUUGAAUUACUAUAAAAGUGACACUUUGAACAGACAUGUAAACUUGGAUACCUGGUACAAACUUGCAGUAGAGAUUCUACCUCAGCCUCAACUACAGUGUUUACAGAAGAUUUUUGGUGCUACCUCUGAGCUAACCUUAUUCUCUUCUAGGCUAUUCUGAUACUGAGCCAUGUUUCGGGCAUGCAGAUGGAAAGGAGUUAGAGCUCUUUAAGAGAAACUCCUCCCCUAUUCCCAUCCAGCACCACAAUAUUAUGUCUUUCUAAAACUACAGGGGUAGCCUAUUUUCUCUCUUUCUGCCUACAUAAUAUAUCACAAACAGGGAAAAGAAAUAGGGUGAUAGAAUUCUGUGUUCCCAGGAAAGCUGGUUGGGGGAAAAUGCAAGGAAGUAAGAUUACAGUAAAAGCUCUCUUCAGAAACUCUCAUCUCAAUUAUGUUACAGCAAAAUACAGUGUUCCACCUCUCUGUGCAGACAAAUAAGAGCAAAGGUAUGCUAGAUGGAAGGGAAGCAGGACCAGAACAACUGGACACCCAGGCCUAGGAGCAGAGCACAGUCUGACACCACAGAGUUAUUACACCUAACCUCACUGCUCGAAGUGUCAUCCAAGAACUACCUGGAUUUGAAUCACCUGGGGAGCUCAUUAAAGUACUGGAUUUGAGUCAAAUACAAUCAGAAUUAUUGCAGCGAGGUUCAAGAACCUGAAUUUUUAACAAGCACUGAAAGCAUCCAAGGUAUCAAUGGUCCUCUGCUUGCAAGGUAGGGCAGAGGAGGACUGGGGCAGCCAGAGUCCCCAGAAACUGCCCGUAGCUGUCUUCAUUCACCUCAGUGCACAAUACAAAGAGCAUUAUUUUCUGUGUGUGCUAUGAAGUGAAAAAGGUUCACAGAGUUCCUAGAAUUUCCUAGAGAACUUCUAAAUUAGAAUUUCCAGGGGAGGUUCACAAUGAUCAUUUUCAAAACUUCCACAAGCCAAUCUGAUGUGUACUGCUGGUUAAGAACCACUGCUCUAAAAUAGCAAUUCUCAACUCUUUAAGAGCAAAAAUAUCUUUUUAUAACAAAUAUUCUGCAAUGCCUCCUUUAUUAUCCUAAAGUGAAAUUCAUAAACAAUAUAGCUUCCUAAAUAUAAAAUUCAAAACAAUCAACAUAAUGUUCUAAAUGUAAUAUAAAGGAGCAAUGAAAUUAAAAUGAUUUUCAUCAUAUAAAUGCUCACAUUAGUCAGACGCUUGCUUGUACCUAAAAGUGGAAUCACUCUAGC